GCGCCGGUAGCUCAGUCGGCAGAGCACCGGACUUUUAAUCCGGGGGUCGCAGGUUCAAUUCCUGCCCGGCGCACCA
rnacentral:tRNA from 2 species